AUUCGGCGAGUAUUGCUCAGUGUACGCCGAGUCGUCACUGCGGCCAGGUUGGCACACGUGUUUGUGUUGCGGGUUAAUACGCACGCGCGUGGAAUACCAACAACCGAUUGGGGGGGAGAAAGAAAAAGAGAAGAAGAAUCCUUUCGAUAAAUAUCGCGGAGUGUAGUGAACACGUGUGCGUGCGCGUUUUGUCCCUGGUGAUCUAGAAAACGUGCGGAACGUCCGGCUGAACCUUGAAAUGUUACAAAACUGAUUUAUUUCGGAGAAUACGUAGUUCCUUAGAUAUUUUUCAAAUUGUCGACCAUUUUUUCAAUCCUUGCACUUCCCAACGUUUCUUUAUGUACCACGUGACACCCUACGUACUUCAAAAUUCUUGACGAUACCAAAGAGCCAAAUCGUAGCAUGCCAAAUCAAAGAUGGAUCAUCACGAGUAUUCUUAUUUGCUUUUUCCUCGUUGGAAUGUUGAAAAGCGCUGCUGGAAGUCCCGCCAGGGACAGGUCAAAGGAGGAAGAGGAAAUGCCUAUGAGCAACUGGACGCAACUUGCAGACGAAUGGCUCGCCAAAGCAAGUGCAACAAGAGGGUUGGACGUUACCGUUUUACCAUUUACCGAGACGCUCAGAGAUUUACCACCGACCGCGGAAACUAUCCGCAUUAAUGGUACUAACCUCGAUCAACUUUCACGGCACAAUUAUUCCAGAAUGUUGUGGGAGAUGGAGAACGCGCAACCAAAUGGACACUUGUCAGGAUUUGUGGAUAAAGCUUUAAAAUUACUGGAUCUAAAGCAAGUGAUGAUGGAGGUGGAGACAUCGGUGAUGUCGAAGGUGUCUUGUUCAGCGUGCAAAGUUGGGGCGGGUCUUCUUCUACAUUACAUAAAGGUUGGCAAAAACGACGAAGAAAUUAUGAACAGCAUUUACCAAUUUUGUACAUCCCUUAAUAUUCAAAGCCCUCGAGUUUGUCACGGAGUUACAUUGCUCUUUGGGGGCGAAGUUAUCUACGUGCUGAAACAAGUAGAUAUGGGACCAUCGCAAAUCUGCAGCUUUGUUAUCGGCGACGCAUGCGACGACGCGUAUAAUCCUCUGCACGAGUGGGAAGUUGCAUUCCCGCCAGUGAAUAAACCACCUGUGAAACCACCCGUACCGCCUCAAGAAGGUGCGCCUACCUUCAAGGUUCUUCAUAUCUCUGAUACGCACUACGAUCCUUACUACCAAGAGGGUGCGAACGCAGAUUGUAAUGAACCCUUGUGCUGCAGAUUAACCAAUGGGGCACCCCAGACACCAGCCGCACGUGCUGGACGAUGGGGUGACUACCGAAAAUGUGACACGCCAAAAAGAACGGUUGAACAUAUGCUUAAGCACAUCGCGGAUACACAUUCUGAUAUCGACUACAUUUUGUGGACAGGAGAUUUACCACCUCAUGACGUGUGGAAUCAAACGCGAGAGGAAAAUCUGAAAGUUUUGCAUGAAACGGUGACACAGCUCAUUGAGAUGUUUCCCGGAAUACCGAUCUUUCCUGCUCUUGGAAAUCAUGAAAGUGCUCCUGUUAAUAGUUUUCCACCUCCAUUUGUGCCAAAAGAAAACGACAUAUCGUGGUUGUACGACUCGCUCGAUAAACACUGGAGACAUUGGUUACCAGCAGGUGUUUCACACACUGUUCGCCGUGGCGCUUUUUAUUCGGUUCUAGUGCGUCCAGGAUUCAGAAUCCUUUCUGUCAAUAUGAAUUAUUGCAAUAACAAAAACUGGUGGCUGCUAAUAAAUAGUACGGAUCCAGUGAGCGAACUGCAAUGGCUAGUUUAUGAGUUGCAAGGAGCUGAAAUGAAUGGCGAGAAAGUUCACAUCAUUGGGCAUAUUCCACCUGGUCAUUCGGACUGUUUGAAAGUGUGGUCUAGGAACUAUUAUCAAAUCAUUAACAGGUACGAAUCUACAAUCACGGCACAAUUUUUUGGACAUACCCACUACGACGAAUUCCAAUUAUUUUACGAUAUUGCUGAUCUUGGAAGAGCUGUUAGCAUAGCUUACGUCGGGCCAUCGGUUACGCCUUAUUAUGAACUCAAUCCAGGAUACAGGAUAUACUACGUCGAUGGUGAUCAUCCAAAAACCACGAGGAUGGUCGUAGAUCACGAAAGCUGGGUAAUGAAUCUAAAAGAAGCGAAUCUUUAUGAUUAUCCUAUUUGGCACAAAAUGUACAGUGCCCGACAAGCGUAUCAAAUGCCAUCGCUUUUACCACGGGAUUGGGAUACCCUGAUAGAUAAGAUGAGCAAUGAACCUUCGCUUUUCGAUCUGUAUUAUAAACAUUAUUAUAAGAAUUCUCCCGUAAGACCGCCAUGUAACGAUGAAUGUCGAAAAAGAUUACUUUGUGAUUUGCGAAGUGGAAGAAGUCACGAUCGCAAAGCUCUAUGUCAAAGUCUCGAAUCUAGGAUAGAUAACGAAACAAGGACAGGUUGGCGAGCUUGGAUUUACAACGGACUCGCUUUCUCUUUAUUGGCCAUUAUUAAGGUCAAAAAGCUAUUUCAUGUGAUAUACACAUUUAUUAGCAAAUGGCACCUAGUAAUUAAAUAACAGACAGUACCUUCUGGUGAUGGAACACAUAUAAUGGUGGUUGAAAUUUCCAACACUAAUCUACAUUGCUUAUAGCAUUGUCUGUUUUCAUGGCAAUUCCUCGAUUUGCAUAUAAUUUACCUAAAUACGUAUUAGGCCUGGGAUAAGUGAAGAUAACAUUAAAUGGAAAACUGAUGUGAUUUUGUUGUUAAAUUAUUAAAUAUUUACAAUGGUGACAUUGUUACUUUGAAAGCUGUAAUAUGCAUUUACAUGCAUAAGAAUAUGCAUUAUUACACGCAAAAGUAUGAUGGAAUUGUCAGAUGCAGAUACAUAUAUUCGUGAGAUCCGUGUUAUGUUAUAGUUAAAAGAAUUUAUUUAACUAGCAAUAGAGAGAUUAUAUAGCGUAAAGUUUCACUUUCAAACAUGAAUUAUUUUUCCUUUGAAUGUGAUAAACAUACACGUCGAAUGUGUGUUGCUGUCGUAUCAAAAAUAUUUGACAAACUGUUUCUAAAGAGGAAUUACUUUAUUUUUUCUUUUCAGAAAUGAUGUUCUAUUUAUAAAAAUACCAUAUAGAAUGUACUAAAAUGUACUAGACAGAGAAGCUAAUAUUGGUCAUAUUAAAUUUCAUGUUUAGUUUAUGUCAAUUCUAUACAAAUUGAAAUCGUAACUACUCUGUGAUCUCAACAUAGAGAAUACAUUUUUGAAAAAAAAAAAAAAAAUAUAUAUAUAGAGUGAAUUUACAUAAAAGUAAUUGCAUUUAUAAGUUAGUUACAUGCAAUACAAUUAUAAGAUUAGGCAAAUGCAACUAGUUUGAAUAAUAAGAUAUACAAUCAAUCAGAUAUAAAAUCAAAUCUAGGUAAAAUCGACAAACACUGUUGAUUAUUUUUAGAAAUAUUUUGUACAUAAUCUUAUUUGUAUUGUAUAGUUAUUCUCGAACUCGUUGUCAGAAACAUAAUUAUUAUAAAUGUAUUAACAUUUUUAUGAAUGGAAAUACAAAAACUGUACUUACAAUUAGCGAUUAUUACACUUAACUUCAUUAGCAUAAUUGAUGUUUGAUAUAUAGGAUUUAAUUGUAAAAUUGAAUAAAAUUUUUUUUACAAUUUACAUGCUUUUGUAAGAAAUGGAUAUUCAACAAUGAACGGUAUAAGUUUUAGCGUCAACGAGAGAGCUCCAAGUAAAUUGAGGAAGCUUUUGGAAUCUAGGUGAAGAAAGCUGGUUGUGGAUUAGCGAAUUUAAUUUGGAAUAAGGGAUUAUCAUCUGAAAAAAAAAAAAAAAAAAAAAAAAAUACACUGCAAUGAUCAAAAAGCAAGAAAAGUAACAUAAAUGCAUAAAAAUCCGUGGUCUAUUCGUUAAAGUUUGUUUGUGCUUUCUUUAUCUGAUAUUUCCUUUACGUUUCUCAAUUUGGUUAUUUUAAGUGGAAUAUUUGAGAACAGCGCGUUUAGUUUUAAAUGUAAUUUUUAUUUAGGCUAUGUACAACACAUACGUACAAUACGUGACCCUUGCUUAAAACUAUAUUACGCUCGCCCGGUAUGCAUUUCCACUUUUAAUCUUUUCUCUUUGACAUACUUGUUAGUGUGUGUGAAUGUGUGCUCUCAUGCAUGCGUCGUCGUAAUAGACACACAUAUAUGUUGUGUUUCUUUCUGUAUGUAUGCAAGUGCAAAUGUGUUCGUAUAUUCGUGUGAUAUGUUACAAAUUUUUAGGAACAUUUCGCGUGGAACACCGCGAGCGAUAUUAGUAAUAA